AACGAACGCUGGCGGCGCGCCUAAUACAUGCAAGUCGAGCGAGAAGACGUAGCAAUACGUUUGUAAAGCGGCGAACGGGUGAGGAAUACAUGGGUAACCUACCCUCGAGUGGGGAAUAACUAGCCGAAGGUUAGCUAAUACCGCGUACGCUCCUUGGACUUCGGUUCAGGGAGGAAAGCGAUACCGUGGGUAUCGCGCUCUUGGAUGGGCUCAUGUCCUAUCAGCUUGUUGGNGAGGUAACGGCUCACCAAGGCUUCGACGGGUAGCUGGUCUGAGAGGACGAUCAGCCACACUGGCACUGCGACACGGGCCAGACUCCUACGGGAGGCAGCAGUAAGGAAUAUUGCGCAAUGGGCGAAAGCCUGACGCAGCGACGCCGCGUGGGGGA
rnacentral:rRNA from 1 species